rnacentral:rRNA from 1 species
CAGCCGCCGCGGGAAUACGUAGGGUGCAAGCGUUAAUCGGAAUUACUGGGCGUAAAGGGCGCGUAGGCGGCGGCCAAAGUCAGACGUGAAAUUCCUGGGCUCAACCUGGGGGCUGCGUUUGAUACUUGGUUGCUUGAGUGGGGAAGAGGGUCGUGGAAUUCCCAGUGUAGAGGUGAAAUUCGUAGAUAUUGGGAAGAACAUCGGUGGCGAAGGCGGCGACCUGGUCCUUGACUGACGCUGAGGCGCGAAAGCGUGGGGAGCAAACAGGAUUAGAUACCCCCGUAGUCCCUGUCUCUUAUAC